GUUGCCACCACGAGAGGUGGGGACUCAGGCGGGACCGCCGGUGACAAACCGGAGGAAGGUGGGGACGACGUCAAGUCAUCAUGGCCCUUAUGUCCUGGGCUACACACGUGCUACAAUGGCCGGUACAGAGCGCAGCGAGGCCGCGAGGCGGAGCGAAUCGCUUAAAGCCGGUCCCAGUACGGAUUGGAGUCUGCAACCCGACUCCAUGAAGUUGGAAUCGCUAGUAAUCGCGCAUCAGCAUGGCGCGGUGAACACGUUCCCGGGCCUU
rnacentral:rRNA from 1 species